CCGACCCUGCCCUGUGCGUGAUAAGCCUUUUUAAACCCACAUUUAUAAUAAGGGACGCUCAACUCUUUCGGUGAAUUGCAGGCCUCCCGGGGCGCGCACCGCGCGUUUUGGACGUUGGAAGCAGAGAACCCGAAAGGCGGCGACCCACCUGCCUAUUUGUGCAGGUUAUAAAUGGGCUUACACGGCUCGGCGGGGUUAUU
rnacentral:other from 1 species